CAGCUGAGGGUCAUCAGGAUGCAGAGCUCUGUGGGGGUCCCCACCAUUGCCUGAGCUCCUCCCUUUCUCCCCCUUCUCAUCCACUGCACAGGUGG
rnacentral:pre_miRNA from 1 species